GGGACCGCACAAGCGGUGGAUGAUGUGGUUUAAUUCGAUGCAACGCGAAAACCUUACCCACCUUUGACAUGUACGGAAUCCUUUAGAGAUAGAGGAGUGCUCGAAAGAGAACCGUAACACAGGUGCUGCAUGGCUGUCGUCAGCUCGUGUCGUGAGAUGUUGGGUUAAGUCCCGCAACGAGCGCAACCCUUGUCAUUAGUUGCUACAUUCAGUUGGGGCACUCUAAUGAGACUGCCGGUGACAAACCGGAGGAAGGUGGGGAUGACGUCAAGUCCUCAUGGCCCUUAUAGGUGGGGCUACACACGUCAUACAAUGGAUGGUACAAAGGGUCGCCAACCCGCGAGGGGGAGGCCAAUCCCAUAAAGCCAUUCGUAGUCCGGAUCGCAGUCUGCAACUCGACUGCGUGAAGUCGGAAUCGCUAGUAAUCGUGGAUCAGAAUGUCACGGUGAAUACGUUCCCGGGUCUU
rnacentral:rRNA from 1 species